UGAGGAAUAUUGAGCAAUGGGCGCAAGCCUGACUCAGCAACGCCGCGUGGAUGAAGAAGGCCUUCGGGUUGUAAAAUCCUUUUCUGAGGGACGAUAAUGACGGUACCUCAGGAAUAAGUUCCGGCUAACUACGUGCCAGCAGCCGCGGUAAAACGUAGGGGACAAGCGUUAUCCGGAUUUACUGGGCGUAAAGCGCCCGUAGGCGGCUUAACAAGUUGGAUGUGAAAGCUCCCGGCUUAACUGGGAGAGGUCAUUCAAAACUGUUAGGCUAGAGGAUGGAAGAGGAGAGCGGAAUUCCCGGUGUAGUGGUGGAAUGCGUAGAGAUCGGGAGGAACACCAGUGGCGAAAGCGGCUCUCUGGUUCACACCUGACGCUGAGGGGCGAAAGCGUGGGGAGCGAACGGG
rnacentral:rRNA from 1 species